rnacentral:sRNA from 1 species
AUAAAGUUUUAAUGAUAAUAAUAUCUUCUCUAUUUCCGCUCUUCCCACUGUUUUGAGUUUUUACAUACUAUGAAUGGACAGACUUCCAUUAGUUAAUUUUGAAACAAGUUCUCACUGUUGCCCAGAACUCACUGUUGCAGCACAGGCUGGCCUCGAACACGCGAUUCUACACCACUGCUUCUACUUGAAUGCUGGGACCUAUAUCAUCAUGCCCAACUCACUGUAUACUCCAGCACAUAGGCAAAGAUGUAUGCGCCCAUGUAACAACUUCAAUGAAGUCAUCUGACAAUCUUGUACAUUAACAAAUCCAUUAUACACAUUGCGGGGCCAACUUGCCCUCUCUAGAGAACUACAGAGAACUGACCCCCUUUCUGUCUCUGUGAGCUGUGUUUGUCUUUUCUACAUUUUAAACUACUGCUGUGGGCAUUUCUAUCAUUCUUAUCUUUCUUCCGCCAUAAGGUCUUUGAUUAUCCACUCAUCGCUUUUAUUAUUAUUCCUACAACUCUUAUAACACAAACAUUUCCAUUGAAUCGCAAGUGACUUCAGUAAACAACACACUUUACGCUGUACAGCUUGGAAAUUCUCAGAGAAGAGUCAACAUAGCUGACUGGAGGCUGCUAUUCUUAGAAAGGUCAGCAUUCAAGGUUGGAUUUCUGAGUAUUUCCUUCAUCCCCUGCUAAAAAUAGCUCGCUGUGCCUAAACUGUGCACAGAGCACAAUUCAGGCAGGGCACCUCCUUUUCUUAUGGAGUCCUGUAUCUUUGUGAACUCCUGGGUUCCCAGUCUGAGCUUUCCAGGUAUUGAUGCUUCACAGGCACUGCUACAUACUGCUGAGGGAAACAUGUCCUGCGUGACUUUACUGGGAAAAUUCCUAGCAAAAAUUUUGUGCCUGAUUUCCUCUGGACGUGUGCUGAAUAGACUUCCACAAGAGUUGUGCACACACAUUCCUGAAAUCCUUCUCUGCUUCCUGCCCUUGGAAUCUAACUGCCUCAGCCUAGAGGAAUUCUAAUCAUUCCCUGCUCACCCAAGGACCGCUGGCCCUGUUUAUCUUGUCAUUACCUAGAAAUUCCUUCUUAUCAGAAGGCGCAUCUCUUUCAUUGUCCCUUUUCCCCUCGUCCUUCACUACUUAUAGAGGAAUAUUUAAAAGAAACACAGAGGGGAUGAAUUCACUCGAAAAUUGUUGUAUGAAAUUCUCAAGGAGUUAAAACCAUGUUUCAAAAGAACAAAAUGUGGACAGCAUGCUGCCAUUUGCUUAAGGAAGUGAGAUAUCUUCGCUUGUGGUGAUUUUGUAGAGAGAAAUGCACCGAAGGAUUUCUGGAGGCGUCCAGGCUGCUUCUUGCUACUUCAGCAGACUGGUGCCCACUGGUGGGGCCUCUCGGGUUCUUCUGGACAGAGCCACUGCUGCUGGUUUGAGUGGAUUGUUGAUAAGGAAGAAUGGAAACACUCCAAAGAAUGACUUCUCAACAGACUCAUCUAAACAGGGAAAUUUAAGAAGCACACGUAAAACAGCCUGGUGAUGUCCGGAUGUUACCAUGCCAUUCACUAGAAAAUGGACUUGGUGACGGUUUUAAAGGUAUUGGAGGGACAGACGAGUCUCCCAGGCUUCCAGUUUGCUUGGGAGUACAAUAAAGUUAUUAAAAAAGGACGUUAUAAUUUGGAAACUAUCAAUAAAAUGCUGUAACAAAUUUAA